AGAAAAAAAAAAAAAAAAAAAAAAAAAAAAAACAUUUUUCA
rnacentral:ribozyme from 1 species